AAAUAAAGCUAAAUAUCGUUGGCUCUGUGAUAAAUUGCAUAUUAUGUUUCUAGAUUAUAUGCUGAUGGCCGUGCAGCAGAGGAGCGCAGAGUCUCCUGUCGGACAACAUCUCUAAGUCGCUAUGAACCAUGUGACUAGAUCCUAUGUACCCAGCCUCAACCAUUCAUCAGAAGGACUGUGAAAGCAGGAACUCUUUGAACCACCAGUGGCAGUUUCCAUGGGAUGAAAAAGGGCAUAGUAGUGGAUGAUGAGGUCCUGAGACCAUAUGGGGUGAAGAUCAAGACAACCAAACCAAAGGUGGACUGUAACCUACUGGACUAUAUGAUAGACUUCAUACUGACCACUACUGCCAUGUAUGCAGCAUGAAAAGUUUUUGAAAAGAGGGGCAUUUCCUUCACCAAGUAAAAGUGUGGAGGAUUCAUCUGGCCUUCAUCCAUGAGGUGACUCGAUGUAGAAUAAAUCAGCUUGCUUUAGGCUUGAAAUGACUGAAAUCUUCUCAUGUGAGUUGAUAUCAUUUUAAACAUUCUUAAAAGUACUUCUCAUUUCUUGUGAAUGUAUUUUGUUGUAUGUGUAAAACUUUUCCACUGAAAGAACCUUUUUUACCUUCAUUGAUAUUGUAAUCAAGGUUGUUAAUGCUAUGGACUGCACACAUCUGCCUGUGUUGGGCUUGUGUUUACAGGUUGUAUAAAACUAGGCCUGGCUGCAACAACUAAUCGAUAAUUAAAAUAAUCAUCAACGAAUUUGAAUAGUGCAUCAAAACAAACAGACCGCUCAUAAUUCUGACUAAAAUACACAUUUUGCUCAAAUA